rnacentral:rRNA from 1 species
CCUACGGGAGGCAGCAGUGAGGAAUAUUGGUCAAUGGACGCAAGUCUGAACCAGCCAUGCCGCGUGCAGGAAGACGGCUCUAUGAGUUGUAAACUGCUUUUGUACGAGGGUAAACGCAGAUACGCGUAUCUGUCUGAAAGUAUCGUACGAAUAAGGAUCGGCUAACUCCGUGCCAGCAGCCGCGGUAAUACGGAGGAUUCAAGCGUUAUCCGGAUUUAUUGGGUUUAAAGGGUGCGUAGGCGGUCGGAUAAGUUAGAGGUGAAAUCCCGAGGCUCAACUUUGGAAUUGCCUCUCAUACUGUUCGUCUAGAGAGUAGUUGCGGUAGGCGGAAUGUAUGGUGUAGCGGUGAAAUGCUUAGAGAUCAUACAGAACACCGAUUGCGAAGGCAGCUUACCAAGCUACUUCUGACGUUGAGGCACGAAAGCGUGGGGAGCAAACAGGAUUAGAUACCCCUGUAGUC